AUCUAUAGCCAUACCACCCUGAAUGUGCCCAAUCUCGUCUGAUCUUGGAAGCUAAGCAUGGUUGGGCCUGGUUAGUACUUGGAGGGGAGACUGUCCAGGAUCACCAGGUGCUGUAGGCU
rnacentral:rRNA from 1 species